GUAGGGUGCGAGCGUUAAUCGGAAUUACUGGGCGUAAAGUGUGCGCAGGCGGCCGCGCAAGUCGAGUGUGAAAGCCCCGAGCUUAACUUGGGAAUUGCGCUCGAAACUACGUGGCUGGAGUGUGGCAGAGGAAGGUGGAAUUCCACGUGUAGCGGUGAAAUGCGUAGAGAUGUGGAGGAACACCAAUGGCGAAGGCAGCCUUCUGGGCCAACACUGACGCUCAUGCACGAAAGCGUGGGGAGCAAACAGGAUUAGAUACCCUGGUAGUCCACGCCCUAAACGAUGACGACUAGUUGUUGGAGGAGUUAAAUCCUUUAGUAACGCAGCUAACGCGCGAAGUCGUCCGCCUGGGGAGUACGGUCGCAAGAUUA
rnacentral:rRNA from 1 species